rnacentral:rRNA from 1 species
AGAGUUUGAUCAUGGCUCAGAUUGAACGCUGGCGGCAUGCCUUACACAUGCAAGUCGAACGGCAGCACGGGAGCAAUCCUGGUGGCGAGUGGCGAACGGGUGAGUAAAGUAUCGGAACGUGCCCAGUCGUGGGGGAUAACGUAGCGAAAGCUACGCUAAUACCGCAUACGAUCUAUGGAUGAAAGCGGGGGAUCGCAAGACCUCGCGCGAUUGGAGCGGCCGAUAUCAGAUUAGGUAGUUGGUGGGGUAAAGGCCUACCAAGCCGACGAUCUGUAGCUGGUCUGAGAGGACGACCAGCCACACUGGGACUGAGACACGGCCCAGACUCCUACGGGAGGCAGCAGUGGGGAAUUUUGGACAAUGGGCGCAAGCCUGAUCCAGCAAUGCCGCGUGCAGGAUGAAGGCCUUCGGGUUGUAAACUGCUUUUGUACGGAGCGAAAAGGCUUCCACUAAUACUGGAGGCUCAUGACGGUACCGUAAGAAUAAGCACCGGCUAACUACGUGCCAGCAGCCGCGGUAAUACGUAGGGUGCAAGCGUUAAUCGGAAUUACUGGGCGUAAAGCGUGCGCAGGCGGUCUUGUAAGACAGGUGUGAAAUCCCCGGGCUUAACCUGGGAACUGCACUUGUGACUGCAAGGCUGGAGUACGGCA